UAAUACGGGAGGCAGCAGUGGGGAAUAUUGCACAAUGGGCGCAAGCCUGAUGCAGCCAUGCCGCGUGUGUGAAGAAGGCCUUCGGGUUGUAAAGCACUUUCAGUCGUGAGGAAGGUGGUGUAGUUAAUAGCUGCAUUAUUUGACGUUAGCGACAGAAGAAGCACCGGCUAACUCCGUGCCAGCAGCCGCGGUAAUACGGAGGGUGCGAGCGUUAAUCGGAAUUACUGGGCGUAAAGCGCAUGCAGGUGGUUUGUUAAGUCAGAUGUGAAAGCCCGGGGCUCAACCUCGGAAUAGCAUUUGAAACUGGCAGACUAGAGUACUGUAGAGGGGGGUAGAAUUUCAGGUGUAGCGGUGAAAUGCGUAGAGAUCUGAAGGAAUACCGGUGGCGAAGGCGGCCCCCUGGACAGAUACUGACACUCAUAUGCGAAAGCGUGGGGAGCAAACAGGAUUAGAUACCCUGGUAGUCCACGCCGUAAACGAUGUCUACUUGGAGGUUGUGGCCUUGAGCCGUGGCUUUCGGAGCUAACGCG
rnacentral:rRNA from 1 species